ACAGUGGAAGUGGCCAUUGCCCGAACUUGUUCUUACGGCUGCUGUCUUGGGAGCACAAGCUUGCCAGAAGUACUGUGGCUGAAUUACCAGCAUGUCAUCGACCGUGACCGAGACCGAGUCAAGUCAAGCUUUGUCAGAUCAAUUGGCUGAUUGCAGAUCAAAAGCUAAAGAAAAAUACGAAAAAACAAAGGAACAGUCCAGGCAAGCAGACAACCCACCUCCCACAGGGGGCCAGACCCAGGCCACGGUUAUAAACAAACCAACAAUUCAACAAAACAAGAUUAAAGGAGACGUUUCUAACGACAUCCGAGUUGGGAAAGGAGCACACGUUUCGAACACCCCUCAAAUUGAAGGAAACCAAGGCGGAGGACACAUUUUAAACAACGUUACAACUGG